GCUUGCAGAACAAUACGACGCGUUUGUGAAGUUCACGCAUGAUCAAAUCAUGCGACGAUAUGGAGAACAGCCUGCCAGUUACGUUUCAUGAAUCACACUUUCUGCGUAUGUGGGCUGCCCUAUACACCCUGUUUUAUUGUUGCAAGCUGUCCCAGUAAAGACUUGCAGCAAUGCUGUUUUUUCCCCCCCCUGUGAACACAGGUUAUUUCAAGCUUUUGUCAGUGGCAACCACUCUUAUGCAGCAACUGGUUUUGGAGUGCUCCCUGAUGUCAGUACCACCUGGAUGUGGACCUUUGCUACCUGUAAUAAUACCAGUGGCCUCAUUUGCUGUAUCAUUACAAUUUGGCUUCUUAUGUUAAUAAGUUUGAAAAAGUUAAGGAUUUAAGCAGUUGUUUUAGAAGUUGCCCUUCACUGGUUAUGUAAAUAAAAAUGUAGAAUGACACUUCUGACUGAAGUUAGUGUGGUUUUCAUAACUGUGCACUACAACAGAACUGUAAUCACAGUUAAGUUAGAAUGUAAUCCCAGGACAAUUUUAAGCAAAUAGCCCACAGUACUGCCUGUGAAAUAGUGAAGGAGGGCAUUUCUGUAUUCCAUGACUUUUUUGGGGGUUAAGAAUGGGUUUAUAUGAUUUCUCAUUUUUGUAGUCUUUAUUUAUUCUAUCAGUCUUUAACAAAUGUUUAUUGCUGCAAUUUUUCAGUGUAUCAUUGUUUUACUGCCCUUGUAGUACUGGAAUUUAGUUGGAAGAAUAAAACAUUUACUUCUAA